rnacentral:tRNA from 1 species
UCCUUGGUGGCUCAGAUGGUAAAGUGUCGACCUGCAAUGCGGGAGACCUGGGUUCAAUCCCUGGCUCAGGAA